rnacentral:rRNA from 1 species
AUUGAACGCUGGCGGCAUGCUUUACACAUGCAAGUCGAACGGCAGCACGGGGGCGAACCCUCGGUGGCGAGUGGCGAACGGGUGAGUAACACAUCGGAACGUGCCCAGUUGUGGGGGAGUAACCUAUCGAAAGGUAGGCUAAUACCGCAUGAGCUCGGCAAGAGGAAAGCGGGGGACGUCAGCGAUGGGCCUCGCGCGACUGGAGCGGCCGAUGUCCGAUUAGCAGUUGGUGGGGUAAGGCUUACCAAGGCGACGAUCGGUAGCUGGUCUGAGAGGAUGAUCAGCCACACUGGGACUGAGACACGGCCCAGACUCCUACGGGAGGCAGCAGU